GACGAACGCUGGCGGCGUGCUUGACACAUGCAAGUCGAACGCUGAAGCUCAGCUUUUGUUGGGUGGAUGAGUGGCGAACGGGUGAGUAACACGUGAGUAACCUGCCUCCUUCUUUGGGAUAACGCCCGGAAACGGGUGCUAAUACUGGAUAUUCACUGGUCUUCGCAUGGGGGUUGGUGGAAAGGGUUUUUCUGGUGGGGGAUGGGCUCGCGGCCUAUCAGCUUGUUGGUGGGGUGAUGGCCUACCAAGGCUUUGACGGGUAGCCGGCCUGAGAGGGUGACCGGUCACAUUGGGACUGAGAUACGGCCCAGACUCCUACGGGAGGCAGCAGUGGGGAAUAUUGCACAAUGGGCGCAAGCCUGAUGCAGCGACGCCGCGUGAGGGAUGGAGGCCUUCGGGUUGUGAACCUCUUUCGCUCAUGGUCAAGCCGCAACAAUGGUUGUGGUGAGGGUAGUGGGUAAAGAAGCGCCGGCUAACUACGUG
rnacentral:rRNA from 1 species